GCCGCUCAUGCUGUGCUGCGCGGCGACGAUCCGGUCCGUCAGAGUCGGCCAGGACAUGGUGGAGGAGGAGCGGCUUCGGCUGGAGCCUGGAGGAGGUGACGGGGAUUGGGGGGCCAGGACUCAUCGUUUGGGACAUGACAAGCAGCCGAGGUGCUCCUUGGUGGCAUUGGCGUACCCCGAGAGGACCAGGGCGGCGGGCUCUCGCUCGGUUGGGUGGCUCUCCUCGUUGCUCAGGAUGUGCUCCACCAGACAGUGAGCAGCCUCCUCGAUGUUGCUGUUUUCCUAAGGGAGGGAAAACCAUCAAGCCAUCUGUCCAUUUCCUGAGGCGCUUUUCCUCAUUAGGUGGUGCCUCCUGUUUGAUUUAGGCCUUCCUAGCCCCGCUGAAGUACUUGAUGGUAAACAACAUGCAAUGCAGAAAACCUUGGCAGA